rnacentral:rRNA from 1 species
GAAGACGGCCUAAUACCGUAUGAUAUCGUUUGCUGACAUCAAAUAACGAUUAAAGGUUUAGCGGUUAUGGAUGGGGAUGCGUCUGAUUAGCUUGUUGGCGGGGUAACGGCCCACCAAGGCAACGAUCAGUAGGGGGUUCUGAGAGGAAGGUCCCCCCACAUCGGAACUGAGACACGGUCCAAACUCCUACGGGAGGCAGCAGCG